rnacentral:rRNA from 1 species
CCUACGGGAGGCAGCAGUGGGGAAUAUUGCACAAUGGGCGCAAGCCUGAUGCAGCCAUGCCGCGUGUGUGAAGAAGGCCUUCGGGUUGUAAAGCACUUUCAGCGAGGAGGAAGGCAUUAAGGUUAAUAACCUUAGUGAUUGACGUUACUCGCAGAAGAAGCACCGGCUAACUCCGUGCCAGCAGCCGCGGUAAU